CAGGGACCACCGACCACCCACUGGGAGGUAAGCCGGCCGGCGUCUGUCUGAUUCUGUCUCGUUCUGCCUUAUUCUGUCUGUUCUGUGAGCGCUCAGCCAGGUCUGUUCUGUGAGCGCUCAGCCAGGUUGUUUGGAAUUUGGGCGGGACGAAGAAGGAGCUGACGAGCUCGGACUUCUCGCCCCGCAGCCCUGGAAGACGUUCCAAGGGUGUUGGGGCCCGACUUUUCGGGGCCCAAUCUGGGAGAGGAGAAAGAUCCGGACUAACGGCACCUCUGUCUGUAUUUUUGGCUUUCAGAGGGCCCCGGACCUUUGCCACCUCCAUCUGACUUUUUGCUUUCAGUUUGGUACCAAAGCCGUGCAGCACGCCUGUCUGUUGUUUGUUUGACUGUUGGUGUUGUUUGUUUUCUCUGUGUUCUAAUCUUCCUUAGAACUAACAUGGGACAGUCCCUAAC
ensembl:lncRNA